UCCAGAAUUUCUUGUGAGGAAGGUCUAGUGUUGAUGAACUUCCUCACCAUUUGUUUGUCUGGGAAAGUCUUUAUCUCACUUUCAUUUCUGAA